rnacentral:misc_RNA from 1 species
GGGUGGACCUGUCAGCUUCUCUCCAUAAGCGGUUGUAGAUCUCAUCGGAGAUCGCCGGAGGAGCGGCUGAGGAUCUCAUCGGAGAUCGCCGGAGAAGACGAUGACUCGCGGGAAGCAAAAGAUCGAGGCGCAGCGCAAGAAUGCUGAGAAGAACCAGAAGAACAAGGGCUCGCAGUUCGAGGCCCGCGCCGUCGCGCUCAAAGUCACCUGCCCCAUCUGCAAGGUACAACUAGCAAACCAGAACCAGCUCCCGGAUCAUUAUGCUGCCAAACACCCAAAGGAGAACCCUCCCAGUGAAUCUGGCUGACCCCUCUCCACUGCAUACUGGAUCUUGUUUGUCGAACUGAAUAUAUUUACCGACUACUUGUGUGUUAAUCAAAAUUUCGACUAGGUCUACUUGUGUGUCGAACUUAUUUGGAUCGCAACAAAAAACCAGA